AGGACGAACGCUGGCGGCGUGCUUAACACAUGCAAGUCGAGCGGAAAGGCCCUUCGGGGUACUCGAGCGGCGAACGGGUGAGUAACACGUGAGCAACCUGCCCUUAGCUCCGGGAUAGCUCCGGGAAACCGGAAUUAAUACCGGAUAUGACCUAGGCCGACAUCGGCUGUGGUGGAAAGUUUUUCGGCUGGGGAUGGACUCGCGGCCUAUCAGCUUGUUGGUGGGGUAAUGGCCUACCAAGGCGACGACGGGUAGCCGGCCUGAGAGGGCGACCGGCCACACUGGGACUGAGACACGGCCCAGACUCCUACGGGAGGCAGCAGUGGGGAAUCUUGCGCAAUGGGCGAAAGCCUGACGCAGCGACGCCGCGUGGGGGAUGAAGGCCUUCGGGUUGUAAACCCUUUCAGCAGGGACGAAGCGAAGUGACGGUACCUGCAGAAGAAGCGCCGGCUAACUACGCGCCAGCAGCCGC
rnacentral:rRNA from 1 species